rnacentral:rRNA from 1 species
UGGGGAAUAUUGCGCAAUGGGGGGAACCCUGACGCAGCCAUGCCGCGUGAAUGAAGAAGGCCUUAGGGUUGUAAAGUUCUUUCGGUAUUGAGGAAGGUUGAUGUGUUAAUAGCACAUCAAAUUGACGUUAAAUACAGAAGAAGCACCGGCUAACUCCGUGCCAGCAGCCGCGGUAAUACGGAGGGUGCGAGCGUUAAUCGGAAUAACUGGGCGUAAAGGGCACGCAGGCGGUUAUUUAAGUGAGGUGUGAAAGCCCUGGGCUUAACCUAGGAAUUGCAUUUCAGACUGGGUAACUAGAGUACUUUAGGGAGGGGUAGAAUUCCACGUGUAGCGGUGAAAUGCGUAGAGAUGUGGAGGAAUACCGAAGGCGAAGGCAGCCCCUUGGGAAUGUACUGACGCUCAUGUGCGAAAGCGUGGGGAGCAAACAGGAUUAGAUACCCUGGUAGUCCACGCUGUAAACGCUAUCGAUUUGGGGGUUGGGGUUUAACUCUGGCGCCCGUAGCUAACGUGAUAAAUCGACCGCCUGGGGAGUACGGCCGCAAGGUU